AUUGAACGCUGGCGGCAUGCCUUACACAUGCAAGUCGAACGGCAGCAUGAUCUAGCUUGCUAGAUUGAUGGCGAGUGGCGAACGGGUGAGUAAUAUAUCGGAACGUGCCCUAGAGUGGGGGAUAACUAGUCGAAAGACUAGCUAAUACCGCAUACGAUCUACGGAUGAAGGUGGGGGAUCGCAAGACCUCAUGCUCCUGGAGCGGCCGAUAUCUGAUUAGCUAGUUGGUGGGGUAAAAGCCUACCAAGGCGACGAUCAGUAGCUGGUCUGAGAGGACGACCAGCCACACUGGGACUGAGACACGGCCCAGACUCCUACGGGAGGCAGCAGUGGGGAAUUUUGGACAAUGGGGGCAACCCUGAUCCAGCAAUGCCGCGUGAGUGAAGAAGGCCUUCGGGUUGUAAAGCUCUUUUGUCAGGGAAGAAACGGUAGUAGCGAAUAACUAUUACUAAUGACGGUACCUGAAGAAUAAGCACCGGCUAACUACGUGCCAGCCGCCGCGGUAA
rnacentral:rRNA from 1 species